UACAUACCGACUCCUUUCAGUUAUACUCGUUCCCACACGCGUUCUCGACACACACGUGGAUACGUCAUAAUUUACAGUUACUUCUUACACGGAUUAUUACGAAAGGUUUCAAUAUAUCUAUUCAAACACGUUGGAUCGAGCAAAAAGAGAGACGAGUUUCACCACGUGCUGGUAUAGUUAUCGGCCAAGACCGGAACAAAGGAAAGCGGUUUCUCGUUAUUGUAGAAUUUUUUUUAAUUGCAACGUAUAAUUGACAAUAUAUAUAUAUAUAUAUAUAUAUAUAUAUAUAUAUAUAUAUAUAUAUAUAUAUAUAUAUGAUUUUAAAGAAACGAUCGAGUAUUUUUCUUUAAAGUAUGUAUUUUUUUAUAUAUAUAUUGUUUAAAAAGUAAAACAAGAGAAGGAGUUAUUGAAAACCGAUGAAAAUAUCCUCGAUAUUUUUCAACAUUUUAAACGCAAAACAUGUAUCUAUAUACACAGGUGCAUUAUUUGAAUAUUUAUAAGUUCGACUAACGAUUGGAAUACAGAUACAUGCGAUUUACAUGCUAAGAAGCGUUGAAGCGAUUAAACCGUAAUUGGUCGAUUGUAAUAGUUCAAUUUUAGCACGUUAUUGCCAGUUAGUGGUCACGCAUAUGCAUGCGAAGGUGUUUUCUAUUUCUAUACACGGAACAAUGUUAAAGGUGGAGAAUGUUAAUCAAAGUAUCGAACGAGUUCAUCAUCGUGCCAGUCAUAAAUACCACCGUAGUUUACGAUCUCUCCGAGAAGAAAAGAAUUUGCAAAAGCACAAACGGUGUUUAACUCUCAUCGGAGCUUUGAAGACGAUGAUUAGAACCUUUACGGAUGGAAAAAUCGAAAGAAAACAAGUGAAAGUUGGCGUAAAAAUUACGCGGUGCGCACUUAGCGGAUGCAAAAAAAAAAAAAAAAGAAGAAGAAGAAUUUUACUCGAUAACUAGAAAUGAGAUCAUCGGUUCACUCGUUUCGUUGGAGUGCAAUUUUCCAAGAACGGUCGUACAUACGUUCCGAGACGGAUUUAUUAAGAUGAUCUAAAUAAAGGUCUCUUUAAGUAAGAAUAAAAAUCAAGAAUUAAAUUAAAAAUCAAUGAAAGUGGCUCGCUAUCGAGGAAAUUUUUUAUCUUCUUAUCUUCACACCAUUAUUAAACUAUUGGCUACUGAACAUAUAGCGAUUAUAUGUACAGAAAUUUUUUGAUCUCUCAAUGAAACUUGGAAAUCAUUGGCCAGUGUGUAUCACAAUAUGGAACAGUAUUCUUUUAUUUACACUCGGUAAUUAAAAUUACGGUAAAUGAACGCGAUUACGUCGAUCCAGGUAGCAGUGAACGGCGUACAAGUUUACCUUCGAAAAGUCAAGUUCACGCAUAAGUGCGUAAGUGGCAAUCCGCUGUCGAGGCUGGCAGAAAAUUACGAGAAAACGUUUACCGACACUGCGAAAUCUGUCUGCUUGUUUAUUUAUGAAAUCAGUCCAUGUCAAAUUAUAAUAUGAUGGUAUAAUGGUAAUUGAUCCCGAGCAAAUAUAUUUAUAUCUAAGAAAAAAGGAAAAUUGCAAAAUGUGAUUUUUUGUGUUCGUUGCACAAAUAGGAAUGAUAAUAACAGUUGUUUAAUACUGUUAUGUUGUAAAAUUAUGUAAAAAAUUACUCUUAACCAGUUGACCAAUGCAUUUUUUCUCGAGUUGUACGUAAGUAGAAUAAUCUAAAGAUAUUUUUGUAUAAUUUUGUAUUACAUUUACAAUAUAUUCGUAUUUAUUUAUUUAUUUAUUUAUUUUAUAUAUUUUAUCCACUCGAAAACCAAUCGAAACUUUCGGAUUAAACGAAGUUGAAAGAUCGAAAAGAUCUUUAUGCUCCAAUUUUUAUGAACAUCGUUGAGUGACUAAGCUUUAAACAUCGCUUCAUUGGCUGUUCAGGUCUGUUGGUUGAAGUCAAACAAAGUGGUACGGUUUCCCCCGAGCAAUCGAAAUUACUUAGAAAACUUGAGAAAUAUCGAUUAAAAUAUUCACAACUCAGUGAAUAUCAUCAAGAUUUUUGGAUCUUCAAGAGGAUUGCUUCAACUAUUUUUCGAAGCAUUGUUUCCAGGAAUUUGUUCCUUUAAAGUUCCUCUACUUUUUCAUUGGGAAAGAAUUCUAAUGUAUUGCAAUAUUAUGAAAAAAAUUGAAAAACAAUUAAUUUUUUUCUAAUUUCACUUAUUUUAUACGGAGAUUAAAGAGUCGUAAAUAAUUCGAAUAUUAGUAAAAGAAAAUAGCAAAAAAACGAAAAAAAGCAUGAAAAGCAUUUUUACUGUAGUUCGAAUAAGGAAAUGUCCAUUAGUAAAACGAUAAAAUUCAAUGCCAUUAUUUCCAUCGAAUAAAUAUAAAAUUUAAUAUUAUUCCUCGAAAUAAAAAAAUAAUUUUAAUAGUAAUUCUACAAGAAUAUUCGUACACUGAUCCUCAUCGAUCGCGAAUCAAUCGAACCAACGUAAUAUAUCCUCGAUAGAUAGCUCGUCUAACGAUCAUCCGGAUUGCCAAUAAUAUCCUUAAAUAAUAUCUUUUAUCCAGUCAAAGAUCACUGCACGAUAGAAGUUCAGCAACGGUAAAAGGAUUGAUGGGAUCCUGGAUUCGAAGCUACUUUCCAACAGGCAUACUUUAUAUGCUUCAUCGACUUAUUCAAACUUUACUUACAUAUAUGCCUUUUAGUUUAUCAUUUAUGCUGAUCGAAUGGAAAUUUAUGUAACGUAUCGAUUAAAGUGUACUUUGGAAUUCUUUUUCGUCUUAUCGGUAAAUAAAAAAAUAGGAGGAAAAAAAAGCUACAAAAAUACUUUGAAUAAGGCGGAGGGCAAACGUUGCGAUCGUUCCACCGUGUCGGAAUCACGUAGUUCUAAUUCGACGCCAUGACGACCCAGUUCUUGGAUAUUUUAUGCCGUUUCUUUUGGAUUGUCGGUUACAUCUCGUAUCUCGUACGAUUUGAAUAAAUUCACGUUUGAGACUGAGUGAUUAAAGAUAAAAAUAAAAUUAUAAAAGCAGGUAUUUAUUCGAGACUUUGGAUUUAUCAUUAUAAUAAUAAUAAAUAAUUUUUUUAUCGUUCAUAAAAUUUGAAUCGUUAAUGUUUAAUAUUUUUUUUUUCUUUUUAAAUUUCAUUCAUUCAGCUAUUAUUUUUGUUGUUAUUGGACAAGACGAAUUCAUUUCGUCAUAGAUGAUAACUGUUCGUGCAAUAAAGUUCCAUUAAAUUAAAAA